ACGUACACUCCUACGGGAGGCAGCAGUGGGGAAUUUUGGACAAUGGGCGCAAGCCUGAUCCAGCCAUGCCGCGUGCGGGAAGAAGGCCUUCGGGUUGUAAACCGCUUUUGUCAGGGAAGAAAAGGUUCUGGCUAAUACCUGGGACUCAUGACGGUACCUGAAGAAUAAGCACCGGCUAACUACGUGCCAGCAGCCGCGGUAAUACGUAGGGUGCAAGCGUUAAUCGGAAUUACUGGGCGUAAAGCGUGCGCAGGCGGUUAUGCAAGACAGAGGUGAAAUCCCCGGGCUCAACCUGGGAACUGCCUUUGUGACUGCAUGGCUAGAGUACGGUAGAGGGGGAUGGAAUUCCGCGUGUAGCAGUGAAAUGCGUAGAUAUGCGGAGGAACACCGAUGGCGAAGGCAAUCCCCUGGACCUGUACUGACGCUCAUGCACGAAAGCGUGGGGAGCAAACAGGAUUAGAAACCCCAGUAGUCCCAUGA
rnacentral:rRNA from 1 species